AAGACAUUCUUCUCUUCUCUCCACAACUAGCCCCCGAAGUGGCCUAAAUAAUCAGUAUCAUCUUGCUUUCUGAUUCACCUCCUAGCAGCUGCAUGGCUCAGAUACAAUGCACUACACAUGCACCAGCAAACAAACCAAUUCCCAGGAGGCCUCGACUUGGCUCAGCAUUUGAAAUACACAUCAAUUCAAAGACAAUGAGAAGAAGGCAUAUGUUAACAGGGAAAAUGAGAAGAUUUAUCUUUUCAUCAUCAAGUGCUGUUUUUUGCAUACGAUGGUUCUGAGAAGAGCUCUGAAAUGAAAAUGAGGAGGAAUAACAUCAACUAGGCUAAUUAUAAAUAAAAAUUGUAAACAGGAAAGAAGAAACAGAAGAAUAGUUAAGUAACAUUAUUUCUGCUGUAAGUUUUGUAGAUAUUCCUUAUCAAAUUAAGAAAUCUCCUUCAGUUACCUAAUUUGCUACUUUAAAAAAUU
rnacentral:lncRNA from 1 species